rnacentral:rRNA from 1 species
GAUGAACGCUGGCGGCAUGCCUAACACAUGCAAGUCGAGCGAUUCUCUUCGGAGAAGAGCGGCGGACGGGUGAGUAACGCGUGGGUAACCUGCCCUGUACACACGGAUAACAUACCGAAAGGUAUGCUAAUACGAGAUAAUAUGCUUUUAUCGCAUGGUAGAAGUAUCAAAGCUCCGGCGGUACAGGAUGGACCCGCGUCUGAUUAGCUAGUUGGUAAGGUAACGGCUUACCAAGGCGACGAUCAGUAGCCGACCUGAAAGGGUGAUCGGCCACAUUGGAACUGAGACACGGUCCAAACUCCUACGGGAGGCAGCAGUGGGGAAUAUUGCACAAUGGGCGAAAGCCUGAUGCAGCAACGCCGCGUGAGCGGUGAAGGCCUUCGGGUCGUAAAGCUCUGUCCUCAAGGAAGAUAAUGACGGUACUUGAGGAGGAAGCCCCGGCUAACUACGUGCCAGCCGCCGCGGUAA